UAUGUGAUCGUCUCUCGCAUAUCAAUAAGCGGAGGAAAAGAAACUAACAAGGAUUCCCCUAGUAACGGCGAGUGAAGCGGGAAGAGCUCAAAUUUGAAAUCUUAAAGGGUUUCCCUUUACGAAUUGUAGUUUAAAGAAGUGUUUUCUGUUGAGGUUUUGGUAAAAGUUCUUUGGAAUAGGACAUCAUAGAGGGUGAGAAUCCCGUAUUUGACCUUUACUUUCAACUUUGUGAUACACUUUCAAAGAGUCGGAUUGUUUGGGAAUGCAGUCCAAAAUGGGUGGUAAAUUUCAUCUAAAGCUAAAUAUUGGCGGGAGACCGAUAGCGAACAAGUACCGUGAGGGAAAGAUGAAAAGAACUUCGAAAAGAGAGUUAAACAGUACGUGAAAUUGUCAAAAGGGAAGCGUUUGACACCAGUGUUGUUUUUCUGAAAAUCAAUUAAAGAACUGUUUAUGCUAAGUUGUUUAGACUUUAUCAGCUAAUCUGCUUAGUUUUGAGCUUUUCUUUAAUGCACUUUUCAGUUAACAAGUCAACAUCAAUUUCUUUUGCUGUAAAAAAGCUUGAGGAAGGUGGCUUGAGAUUCGUCUUAAGUGUUUAUAGCCUCUUGCCUAUGCAGUCGGAGAGAUUGAGGUCUGCAGCGUAGAUCCUUCGGGGCUAAAUGCAUUUGUGCUAAGUUAUAGCAUUUUAUAGACAACUUGUUGACUAUGAUUUGUCUUGUAGCUUACUCGCUUAUGUUAUUUUACCUACGCUUAGGAUGUUGAUCUACAGAGCGAGAGU
rnacentral:rRNA from 1 species